GCCUGGAUAGCUCCGUUGGUUAGAGCGUGGUGCCGACAACGCCAAGGUUGCAGGUUUGAUCCCCGUAUAGGACA